rnacentral:rRNA from 1 species
AUGGCAGAUGCACCUCUGUACAAGCAGCGCCGCAGGUACACCAAGGAGCUCCACGACGUCGACCUCCACGGAAACCACAAGCUCCACGUCGUUUGCACAAGCAAGGGUGAAGACGUGGAUAAGAUGCUGUCCACGCUCAGGAGGAAGCUCGGCGGAAUGCCCGUCAAACUAGUCGGCGUUGAUGUCGAGUACACGCACUACAUGAAACCACAGCGGGCAGCAGUGCUCCAGCUAUGCGCAAAAAAUGAAUGCCUUGUCUACCACAUCUCUUCAGCUAAAGACAGAUCAACUCCGACAACUACAUUGAUAUUCAGGUGGAAUGGAGAGACCCAUACAAUAAAAAGAAGUUUGACUCUUUGGCUGAUGUUGCCGGCAGGAUGA